rnacentral:lncRNA from 1 species
AAAUUUUCCUUUUAAGAAGUUUGUUAUGUGAUUAUCUUGAACUGUGGUUGGUUAGAAUGGUUAACAAGCACACACACACAACAUGGGUGAUGACAGGUUUGGGUUGACUAAUUGGUUAGAGUUAUGGAUUUUGAAUUGAUUAGAUAUAUUGUUUGAGUACCAAUGGUAUCUUUGAGGCAUGUUGCUAUAUAUCAUACUGAUUUAUUACUCGGUUCGUAGGUAUAUUAGGAAGUAGAUUAUGCAUAUGCAUUUAUUUAGUUGAGUUAUUUUGUUUAUUUUUAGUUCUUUUGUGUUUUUGCUUUAGGACAAGCAAAGGUUUAAGUUUGGGGGUAUUUGAUGAGUGAGUUUUAUACACAUGAAUUGGAUACAUUCGGGCUUAAUUUAUU